UUUCCCCAAAGGAGGGAAGAUGAAGCCUUCUGGUGGCUCUGGGUUCCUCUGUGGAAGGAGAAGGUGUCUGAAGAGCUGGAAUGAUGUGAUGGAGAAGCAGUUUUUCCAGUCUCUAGAGUUCCCAAACAAAACUUAGACUGGAUGACAUGCACAGUUUGCAGCCAGCAUCCCAACUCUGACCUCAGACAGAUCCCAGAACCAGGGAGCUUUCUGUUCUGCUACUCACAGCCCUUGAGAGGGAUUGGAGUCACAGCUGGUGUGGAUUUACCACAAUCUCUCCAUCCAUGUUCUGCUGGAUAACCAGCCAGUCUCCUGUGCUGAAUUCCCAAAGCUGGGCUCACGAAGGAGCGGAGAGAGAAGUGAGCAGAUUCAUCGUGCUCGUGUGGCUUCAGACUGUAAGACAGGUGGAUGCCAGUGCAUGACAUUUAACUGCAAAACUGAAAAGGCCCCAGGCAGCCCAGCCUGGAUCCAGGGCUGCACUUCCUGUGGUAGGGUCAAAAGACUCCGUGUUGUGAAUGACCUGCUGGGGAAUCACAGAAUCACAAAGGUUGGAAAAGACCUCUAAGAUCACCCAUCAGCCCAUCCCCACCGUGCCCA